UUGAACGCUGGCGGAAUGCUUUACACAUGCAAGUCGAACGGCAGCACGGGGGCAACCCUGGUGGCGAGUGGCGAACGGGUGAGUAAUACAUAGGAACAUACCCAGUAAUGGGGGAUAACGCCGAGAAAUCGGUGCUAAUACCGCAUACGCCCUACGGGGGAAAGCGGGGGAUCUUCGGACCUCGCGUUAUUGGAUUGGCCUAUGUCUGAUUAGCUAGUUGGUGAGGUAAAGGCUCACCAAGGCUUCGAUCAGUAGCUGGUCUGAGAGGAUGAUCAGCCACACUGGAACUGAGACACGGUCCAGACUCCUACGGGAGGCAGCAGUGGGGAAUUUUGGACAAUGGGCGAAAGCCUGAUCCAGCCAUUCCGCGUGAGUGAAGAAGGCCUUCGGGUUGUAAAGCUCUUUCGGCAGGAACGAAAUAGUUACGGUUAAUAACCGUGAUUUCUGACGGUACCUGAAGAAGAAGCACCGGCUAACUACGU
rnacentral:rRNA from 1 species